rnacentral:misc_RNA from 1 species
GAUGAAGAACGCAGCGAAAUGCGAUAAGUAAUGUGAAUUGCAGAAUUCAGUGAAUCAUCGAAUCUUUGAACGCACAUUGCGCCCCCUGGAAUUCCGGGGGGCAUGCCUGUUCGAGCGUCACAGGGACGAACCCUCGCGCGGGUGUACGCGCGGUCGUGGCUGCGGUGGCGUGCCCGAGGCGGCGGCCACCGCGCUGGAAUCCAUGGGCGGACGCCUGCCGCGUGGCCGAGCGUGAUAUGACGCAUUGGCGCUCGCACGCGGCGAGGCUGCCAGCCCUGGCCCGUCUGUCGGGCGGGGGAGAGCAAGACACGUGAACUCCUCGAAUCAGGUAGGAAUACCCGCUGAACUUAAGCAUAUCAAUAAGCGGAGGA